rnacentral:ribozyme from 1 species
AGAUGAUAGAUAGCAACUAAAAAGAAGCAAACACAAAAGAAAAGGUCAGAGUCUCUCUCUCUCUCUCUCUAUUUCUCUUUC